rnacentral:rRNA from 1 species
UACGUAGGUGGCAAGCGUUAUCCGGAAUUAUUGGGCGUAAAGCGCGCGCAGGCGGUUUCUUAAGUCUGAUGUGAAAGCCCACGGCUCAACCGUGGAGGGUCAUUGGAAACUGGGAGACUUGAGUGCAGAAGAGGAAAGUGGAAUUCCAUGUGUAGCGGUGAAAUGCGUAGAGAUAUGGAGGAACACCAGUGGCGAAGGCGACUUUCUGGUCUGCAACUGACACUGAGGCGCGAAAGCGUGGGGAGCAAACAGG